UACGUAGGGUGCGAGCGUUAAUCGGAAUUACUGGGCGUAAAGCGUGCGCAGGCGGUUCGUUAAGUCAGCUGUGAAAGCCCCGAGCUUAACUUGGGAAUUGCGGUUGAAACUGGCGGACUAGAAUCUGGCAGAGGGGGGUGGAAUUCCAGGUGUAGCGGUGAAAUGCGUAGAUAUCUGGAGGAACACCGGUGGCGAAGGCGGCAUCCUGGACCAAUUCUGACGCUGAGGAGCGAAAGCCAGGGGAGCAAACGGG
rnacentral:rRNA from 1 species